GAAGGAAUUAGUGAGGAUUUUGUGGAGUUACUCAGCGGAGAAGUGAAUCGGAAGGAAUUGGUUUACUUAUGGAAUUUGAUGGGGGUUUGAUGUUAUGAAUGGCUGAGCAGUUAGUGAAUAUGACUUUUUCUGUUUGCAUAAUAUGCUAGAGGUAAUUUGCUGUCUGGAGGGAGCUAG